rnacentral:rRNA from 1 species
CACGUAGGGGGCAAGCGUUGUCCGGAUUUAUUGGGCGUAAAGAGCUCGUAGGUGGUUCGGUAAGUCGGGUGUUAAACCCCCAGCUCAACCUGGGGACGCCACUCGAUACUGCUGUGACUAGAGUCCGGUAGGGGAGCGUGGAAUUCCUGGUGUAGCGGUGAAAUGCGUAGAUAUCAGGAGGAACACCGGUGGUGUAAACGGA